rnacentral:rRNA from 1 species
GACGAACGCUGGCGGCGUGCUUAACACAUGCAAGUCGAACGGAAAGGCCUGCUUUCCCUUGUGGAUUGCGGGUACUCGAGUGGCGAACGGGUGAGUAACACGUGAGUGAUCUGCCCCCAACUUGGGUAUAAGCCUGGGAAACUGGGUCUAAUUCCCGAUAGGACUGCAGGGUGGUGCCUGUGGUGGAAAACGAUUUUCUAGUGGUUGGGGAUGAGCUCGCGGCCUAUCAGCUUGUUGGUGGGGUAAUGGCCUACCAAGGCGGCGACGGGUAGCCGGCCUGAGAGGGUGGACGGCCACAUUGGGACUGAGAUACGGCCCAGACGCCUACGGGAGGCAGCAGUGGGGAAUAUUGCACAAUGGGCGGAAGCCUGAUGCAGCGACGCCGCGUGGGGGAUGACGGCCUUCGGGUGGUAAACUCCUUUCGACCGCGAGGAAGCCACCUGGUUGGAAGGGUGGUGACGGUAGUGGUAGAAGAAGCACCGGCUAACUACGUG